rnacentral:lncRNA from 1 species
AUGUUUUUUUUCCAUCAAGGAGUGAAGAACCAGAUUUUCUGUCCAAGGCUGUUUAUAAGACAUAGAGUCCAUGAGUCCAUGCUGAAAAGUUGUAUCCCUUGGAAAAUAUUCAUCCUGAGAUGCUCAUCUAACCUAAACAGCUUGUUUUCUUCUGCGUUUUGGAAGAAAAGUCUGCUGUCAGAGACCUCUGAAAACUUUGGUCAAGCAUCUGUUCUGUGGCUUUAUCCCAGGUGGAAAGCUUAACUGAGUUGCAUCUGAAGCCUCCAGACCCUAGAGUUUCUGCAGAAUGCCUACAAGCUGCUUAAUCACCCUCCUUCUACAGAGAAACCCAAGGCAUAAAGUUUCUGCUGGAAGCAUCAGCAAUGUGGUACAUUUUGUGCCUCGAAGUGUGGAAGUCAGAAGAUGCCAUGAAAUACAGAUUGCCUGCAUGCCCACUGUCUGGAUUUCAGCAUUCAAUACAGAUGUGCUGCAGUUUUUAUAACUUUAGUGUUAUUCCUGUGUACUGCUAUCACAGACCUAGUUCAGAAAUAGGAUAUAAUUCUGAAAGGCAGCUCUGCUUCAGCCACAAACUGAUUAAUGACUCAUAGCACCAUACAGCACAUUCACCACAGAAACUGUUACAUGUUUAUCCAGAAUGAA